rnacentral:rRNA from 1 species
UACGUAGGGUGCAAGCGUUAAUCGGAAUUACUGGGCGUAAAGCGUGCGCAGGCGGUUUUGUAAGUCUGUCGUGAAAGCCCCGGGCUCAACCUGGGAAUUGCGAUGGAGACUGCAAGGCUUGAAUCUGGCAGAGGGGGGUAGAAUUCCACGUGUAGCAGUGAAAUGCGUAGAUAUGUGGAGGAACACCGAUGGCGAAGGCAGCCCCCUGGGUCAAAACUGACGCUCAUGCACGAAAGCGUGGGGAGCAAACAGG